GUACUUGCUUUGGUAGCACUUAUACUAAAGUUAGAACCAUAUAGAGAAGAUUAGCACGGUCCCUGUGCAAGGAUGACAUACAAAUAUAUGAAGCAUUCCAUACUUUU